ACAUUUCAAAGCUGCAUUAUUGGGUCUGUCUCCAAGCAGAGAUGGUUGAAGUAUUGAACAUUAUCAUAUGCAUGUUGUUUUUCUAUUCAUUCCCUAUAUGAAAUCUAAGAGAAAAUCACUUUGAAGUAUGAGGUCAACUUUAUUUUGGGAAUAUAUAUGUAUAAAUGUAAAAAAAGUAUAAACUAACGUUUGGAAAGAAAAAGUAUUUAAAUAAUUUUUCUUACAUUGCUUCUUUCUUCAAAAUUACUUGUAUUCUUUAUGAUGGAACUGUAUUCAGGAAUAAAUUUCAGCCAAUCCAACUAACUAUCACACAAAAACCAGGUUUUAUGUAAAAUGAGUAAAAUAGGUUCAAUGUAACGACAUUAAAACAUUUUUUAAGAAAAGUAUAUGAUAAAUCCUAUCAAAGACUGUCUUGCACUUCAUAAAAUAUCACUGCAAUUGUACUAUUGAUUAUAAAGUUUUUAGAUAUAUUGAAAUGCAUGUUAU
rnacentral:lncRNA from 1 species